rnacentral:misc_RNA from 1 species
UCUCCGUAGGUGAACCUGCGGAGGGAUCAUUACUGAGUGAGGGCUUCGGUCCGACCUCCAACCCUUUUGUGAACCACCUCGUUGCUUCGGGGGCGACCCGGCCCUCUGGGCGUCGGGGCCCCCGGAGCCCAUCAAACCCUGCGUAACUAAGUCGUCGGAGUUUAAACAAAUUAAACAAAACUUUCAACAACGGAUCUCUUGGUUCGGGCAUCGAUGAAGAACGCAGC